AAUGAACGUUGGCGGCGUGGAUUAGGCAUGCAAGUCGAGCGAGAACCGUAGCAAUACGGGGACAGCGGCGCAAGGGACAGUAAUGUGUAGAUCAUCUGCCCUCAGGUCCGGGAUAGCUGCGGGAAACUGCAGGUAAUACCGGAUAACAUCUCCGGAUCAAAGGUGUGAUUCCGCCUGAGGAUGAGUCUGCAUCCUAUUAGCUAGUUGGUAGGGUAAUGGCCUACCAAGGCUUUGAUGGGUAGCGGGUGUGAGAGCACGACCCGCGUCAUUGGGACUGAGACACUGCCCAGACACCUACGGGUGGCUGCAGUCGAGAAUCUUCGGCAAUGGGCGCAAGCCUGACCGAGCGACGCCGCGUGUGGGAUGAAGGCCUUCGGGUUGUAAACCACUGUCAGAGGGGAUGAAAUGCAGGUGGGUUCUCCCAUCUGUUUGACAUAGCCUCAGAGGAAGGACGGGCUAAGUUCGUGCCAGCAGCCGCGGUAAGAC
rnacentral:rRNA from 1 species